UACGGAAGGUCCGGGCGUUAUCCGGAUUUAUUGGGUUUAAAGGGAGCGUAGGCCGGUCUUUAAGCGUGCCGUGAAAUUUUGUGGCUCAACCGUGGAAUUGCAGUUGAAACUGGAGGCCUUGAGUGCACACAGGGAUGCCGGAAUUCAUGGUGUAGCGGUGAAAUGCUUAGAUAUCAUGAAGAACUCCGAUCGCGAAGGCAAGUGUCCGGGGUGCAACUGACGCUGAGGCUCGAAAGUGCGGGUAUCGAACAGG
rnacentral:rRNA from 1 species